GAAUCUUCCGCAAUGGACGAAAGUUUGACGGAGCAACGCCGCGUGAGCGAAGAAGGUCUUCGGAUCGUAAAGCUCUGUUGUUAGGGAAGAAUAAGUACGAGAGUAACUGCUCGUACCUUGACGGUACCUACCCAGAAAGCCACGGCUAACUACGUGCCAGCAGCCGCGGUAAUACGUAGGUGGCAAGCGUUGUCCGGAAUUAUUGGGCGUAGAGCGCGCGCAGGCGGUUCCUUAAGUCUGAUGUGAAAUCUUGCGGCUCAACCGUGAGCGGUCAUUGGAAACUGGGGAACUUGAGUGCAGGAGAGAAGAGCGGAAUUCCACGUGUAGCGGUGAAAUGCGUAGAGAUGUGGAGGAACACCAGUGGCGAAGGCGGCUCUUUGGCCUGUAACUGACGCUGAGGCGCGAAAGCGUGGGGAGCAAACAG
rnacentral:rRNA from 1 species